AUGUUGUUUGAGCUACAAUUGAUGAGUGAUUCAUUGUUUCCGAUAGUAAUACCUGCAUAUUCCUUCUAUUUUCGCCUCAUCCAAUACUCACUAUUGCUUGCCCAAAUGUUUACCUGUUUAUUAUUACUUAUGAUUCUAUUAGUUUUUUUUUUAUACUGGACGUCUGGACCUAACUCAUUCUACAAAGCCGACUUGUAA